rnacentral:rRNA from 1 species
CCUACGGGAGGCAGCAGUGGGGAAUAUUGGACAAUGGGGGGAACCCUGAUCCAGCCAUGCCGCGUGUGUGAAGAAGGCCCUCGGGUUGUAAAGCACUUUCAGUGAGGAAGAACGCCUGGUGGUUAAUACCCAUCAGGAAAGACAUCACUCACAGAAGAAGCACCGGCUAACUCCGUGCCAGCAGCCGCGGUAAUACGGAGGGUGCGAGCGUUAAUCGGAAUUACUGGGCGUAAAGCGCGCGUAGGUGGCUUGAUAAGCCGGUUGUGAAAGCCCCGGGCUCAACCUGGGAACGGCAUCCGGAACUGUCAAGCUGGAGUGCAGGAGAGGAAGGUAGAAUUCCCGGUGUAGCGGUGAAAUGCGUAGAGAUCGGGAGGAAUACCAGUGGCGAAGGCGGCCUUCUGGACUGACACUGACACUGAGGUGCGAAAGCGUGGGUAGCAAACAGGAUUAGAUACCCGAGUAGUC